rnacentral:rRNA from 1 species
AUGUCGACCGGUGGUGCAGAGUCUGCGGCGGCGGAGGCGAUGGCCUCGGAGGCGUACCUGGCGGGCGCCGCUGUGUGGGAGGCGCGCGAGCUGGUGGCGGAGCUCUGCCGCCAUUUCUACCUGCAGGGGUGGGUCACCGGCACCGGCGGCAGCAUCACCGUCAAGGCCAACGACCCCGCCGUGCCCCUCGCGCAGCAGCUCAUCGUCAUGUCCCCGUCCGGCGUGCAGAAGGAGAGGAUGGUGGCAGAGGACAUGUACGUGAUGUCAGCAGAGGGCAAGGUGAUAUCUGCACCAGUAGCAAAGCCAUGGCCAUACAAGCAUCCAAAGUGUUCAGACUGUGCACCUCUGUUCAUGAAGUCCUAUCUAAUGCGAGGAGCUGGAGCUGUGAUUCAUAGCCAUGGCAUGGAGACUUGCAUGGCCACGAUGCUCAAUCCUGGUGCAAAGGAGUUCAGGAUAUCACAUAUGGAGAUGAUUAAAGGAAUCAAAGGUCAUGGGUACACCGAUGAAUUGGUGAUUCCCAUAAUUGAAAAUACUCCUUAUGAGUAUGAGCUCACAGACUCUCUAGCUGAAGCGAUCGCAGCAUACCCUAAGGCAACUGCUGUCCUGGUACGGAAUCAUGGAAUUUAUGUGUGGGGUGACUCCUGGAUCAAUGCCAAGACACAGGCUGAAUGCUAUCAUUAUCUUCUUGAUGCUGCCAUCAAGAUGUAUCAGUUAGGGAUUGACUGGACAACUCCUGAGCAUGGUCCAAUAAACAGUGCCAAAAGAUUGCGUAGUGUUGCAAGUCCUGGGGUUCCUAAUGGAUGUCAUACAGCCAAAUCAUCAAAGCAUUGUGUUGUACUUGACAUCGAAGGAACAACAACACCAAUAUCAUUUGUGACUGAUGUUAUGUUUCCUUAUGCCCGUGAUAAUGUGCGGAAGCAUCUGACUUCUACAUACGAUUCCGAGGAAACCAAAGAAGACAUCAAACUUUUACGCAUCCAAGUUGAAGAAGACCUGAAAAUCGGAGUUGUUGGGGCUGCUCCAGUUGCACCGGAUGAUGCUGGCAAAGAAGAGGUUAUCAGUUCUUUAGUCGCUAAUGUUGAAGCAAUGAUCAAAGCAGACCGGAAGAUUACAUCAUUGAAACAACUUCAGGGACAUAUAUGGAGGACUGGGUUUGAAAGGAAAGAACUGCAAGGAGUUGUUUUUGAGGAUGUUCCCGAGGCACUGAAGAACUGGCAAUCUCAGGGUAUGAAGGUUUACAUAUACUCCAGUGGCAGUAGAGAGGCACAGAGGCUACUAUUUGGACAUACAUCUUAUGGUGAUCUGCGGCAAUUUCUGUGUGGUUUUUUCGACACCACAACCGGAAACAAAAGAGAAGCAAGGAGUUAUUUUGAGAUCUCGCAAUCACUUGGGGUGGACAAUCCGUCUCAAAUCUUAUUCAUCACAGAUGUGUUGCAAGAAGCCGUUGCUGCAAAGAGUGCAGGUUUCGAGGUAAUAAUCUCCAUUCGCCCGGGGAACGCACCGCUUCCUGCGAAUCAUGGUUUCCGCACUAUCAGUUCCUUCAGUGAGAUCUGA